CCUACGGGAGGCAGCAGUGAGGAAUAUUGGUCAAUGGACGCGAGCCUGAACCAGCCAAGUCGCGUGCAGGAUGACUGCCCUAUGGGUUGUAAACUUCUUUUAUAAAAGAAUAAAGUCAGGUACGUGUGCCUUUUUGUAUGUACUUUAUGAAUAAGGAUCGGCUAACUCCGUGCCAGCAGCCGCGGUAAUACGGAGGAUCCGAGCGUUAUCCGGAUUUAUUGGGUUUAAGGGGAGCGUAGAUGGGUUGUUAAGUCAGUUGUGAAAGUUUGGGGCUCAACCGUAAAAUUGCCAUUGAUACGGGCAGUCAUGAGGAAAGUUGAGGUAGGCGGAAUUCGGGGUGUAGCGGUGAAAUGCUUAGAUAUCACGAAGAACCCCGAUUGCGAAGGCAGCUUACUAGACUGUGACUGACAUUGAGGCUCGAAAGUGUGGGUAUCAAACAGGAUUAGAAACCCCGUAGUC
rnacentral:rRNA from 1 species